rnacentral:lncRNA from 1 species
UGCUGUUCGUUUAGUAAUGGGGAAUAUGUAAAAGCUGGUUUGGUUGAGUUGGAGCGUUGGAGCUAUAAAGCAACAGAUGAGGUUCAGCUUGGGAUGAACUUAAGCAUACUAGGUAACAUUAGAAACCCAAAAAGACAGUUGACGAAAUGAGCCACGACCUGUGCCCAGUAAGUAAUGUGUGAGCAAGGAAUAAGUUAAUACAUUCAAAUCCAUUAACCUCCUCUUCAAUCAUACUCAUGUGUACUU